rnacentral:rRNA from 1 species
AACGAACGCUGGCGGCAGGCCUAACACAUGCAAGUCCAACGCCGUAGCAAUACGGAGUGGCAGACGGGUGAGUAACGCGUGGGAACAUACCCUUCGGUUCGGAAUAACUCAGGGAAACUUGAGCUAAUACCGGAUACGUCCGCAAGGAGAAAGAUUUAUCGCCGAGGGAUUGGCCCGCGUCUGAUUAGCUUGUUGGUGAGGUAAUGGCUCACCAAGGCGACGAUCAGUAGCUGGUCUGAGAGGAUCAGCCACAUUGGGACUGAGACACGGCCCAAACUCCUACGGGAGGCAGCAGUGGGGAAUAUUGGACAAUGGGCGAAAGCCUGAUCCAGCCAUGCCGCGUGAGUGAUGAAGGCCUUAGGGUUGUAAAGCUCUUUUACCCGGGAAGAUAAUGACGGUACCGGGAGAAUAAGCCCCGGCUAACUUCGUGCCAGCAGCCGCGGUAAUACGAAGGGGGCUAGCGUUGUUCGGAAUCACUGGGCGUAAAGCGCACGUAGGCGGAUUCUUAAGUCAGGGGUGAAAUCCCGAGGCUCAACCUCGGAACUGCCUUUGAUACUGGGGAUCUUGAGUCCGGGAGAGGUGAGUGGAACUGCGAGUGUAGAGGUGAAAUUCGUAGAUAUUCGCAAGAACACCAGUGGCGAAGGCGGCUCACUGGCCCGGUACUGACGCUGAGGUGCGAAAGCGUGGGGAGCAAACAGGAUUAGAUACCCUGGUAGUCCACGCCGUAAACGAUGGAUGCUAGCCGUUAGGCAGCUUGCUGUUUAGUGGCGCAGUUAACGCUUUAAGCAUCCCGCCUGGGGAGUACGGUCGCAAGAUUA